GUUUUGUACAACACUAAGAAUACAACACAGAAAAAUUAGAAUAAUAAAAUAAAAAUAGCCACAAAUUAAAAGGAAGAACAGGAGUUGAGCUAGAAAACUGAAGGUGAGAACAGAAGUAAAAAAUAACACAACAAAAUCAACUCACUCAGUCAUUAUUGUUGUUAAUGGUUAGCGAAAGACUGGUGGAAACUUAGCGCAAUUACAAUGUUGUUCAUAAUUACCCUUUAAAUGACCCAAAAUGCCCAUGCAGCAUGUUUCACUGAGGCAAAAAAAAAAAACUCUUCACUUCACAUUUCACUCAAACAGGGCAGAACGAUGAGAUGAUUUCUGGAUGUACAGCUCUUAGCCUUAUUGAUGACUGGAAUCUGACUUGUGUCUGUUGACGGCAGCAGGAUGGGAAUUCUCCUGGUGUGAACCCUGCUUUAAUCUCUGCCUCUCUCUCUCUCUCUCUCUCUCUCUCUGUCUCUCUCUCUGACUCUGGUAUCUUGAUAUGGUCUGUGUUCAGCUCUGACUUUUAAACAUUUACAUUUCUGCUUUCAAGUGCUGUUUAUAUAUGGCCCUUAUCUGCUAUCACACACACACACACACUAGGACACAUUCAGACAGGGACAGACGGUGAAUCAAACCCCUUUUUUUUUCGUGCUGACUGUUACACUGUUACUAUGUCCAUAAUAGGACAGGAGAAGAGAGAACCAGGACAGUAGAGCCACAGAGAGGCAGGGCUGGGGAUUCAGAUCAUUUGCCACCUGAAGUUUAGUGGCGAGGUGAGGUGAGCAGUGGAACUUCAGUGAUUUUACUUCUUGGUGUGUAUGACACUCCACUGAUGCCCUUUCAGCCUCUGUGACUGAACUGCACCUUUGGGAACAGUAGAGGUUCGAUGUCUCGGUCAAGGACGCUUAAAGUAAAAAAAAAAAAAGGUGGAAUCUUGUCACAAGGGGAAAGAUGCUACGGUCUUCAGUCACACUGCCACCCUACAAUGCCGCCAGUGUCCUGUGUGUGCGUGGACACCGCGCUAUCUUGAUAAACUGCUGGCCGAUACGGGACACAAAAAGUGUGGGAAAACCCCUCUGGGACCGAGGGCUCCAGACGCUCUGUCUUUACUCCGUAGAAAAAGCUGUGAAAAAGCUGCGCAUUUUGUUUCCACAACUUUUUGUAAUUGAAUUGGAUUUGAAUAUCAACCAAAGCAUAAACUAGAGUUAGAAAUAAAAGAAAUACCUGCACAGUCCAACAGUGACUACCGCUGCCUCACCCUCCUCACCCUCCUCACCCACAUUUAAAUAUUGAACACUUUCCCAGAUUGUAAAAAGACCAUUAAAUGUUCUGUAUUUCACAGAAAUUAAAGCCACAGGAUAUAUAUUUCAAAUGUAUCCAAAAAAAAAAUCCCCCAAAUGUGAUUAAACUCUGUCUUUGUUGCAGAGAUCAGGUUUGUGAAUAAGAAUGAAACGGUCAUGGUUAAAUCAUACUGUACGUUAAUACAGUGGCAAUUCAUAUAUAUUUUUUAUUUUUUUGUUUCUCUGAAUCAGAUAUCAGGCAGUAGAAAUCUGUGUGGAUUCCAGGACCGUUUGUAUUCUCCCUUGUCAAAAAAAAAAAAAAGGAAAAAAAAGAGUUCCACCUUUGUUUGAUCAGUGGAGAAGAGGUUGUUGCUAGGGAAACCCAACAUUUCAGAGACCAGUAACAUUAAAUUCAUUUUAAGUAACUCGAAGUCAAAGAUUCAUUCAUUUGAAUUUAAUCCACUCAUUGUUCUUCAACUUCCGUACAAAUUGCCAACACCUGCACCUUCAGAAAUAAUUCUGUGGGUUGGAUUGCUCUUGGAGGACCAGGACUACUCUGACUUAAGUACUCAGCCCCAGUAAUACAACUUGGAGUGUGUCACUGAGCCCCAGAGGACUCCAGAAGUGCUGCACAGAGUUGACCCUGACAUUUGAGCUUCCCUUUACAACAGCACCAGAUCAGCCAGCCCUGCUGCAGAAAAAAAGGGAGGCUCACACACACACACACACACACAGGACAUCUUCUCAUGUGAUUGGUCAUGUAGAGACACACGGGUGAAAGUUAAAGGCGUCAAAUAUGUUGUUGUUUUCUCUUCUAAUUUGUUGGAUUUAUUAGUUUGACCUCAGAGAUUUCACGGCCGUUAGUUGUUUGACUUCAGUUUCUUAUUUUGAGAAAUGAAGUAGUACUCAUGUUUUAUAAUAAGUUUCAGUUGUUCUCUAGAGUACUAUGCUUUUGUACAUUGGAGUUUUACAUGAAAAACUCAUUUGAAGAAGUCCUCAGUGGUAUUGUUGUGCUGCUAUUGAAAACGAACCACACUGGGGAGAGACAUUCACGCUGCAGACAACAGUGGCCUUUCAUCCCAGUGUACACAGCACACAGUGGGUUUGUGUAACGUGAUCCGUGCCACUUUCAUAUGUGGCCUGUAUGUAAAUAAUGGAUACAACAAGCUUGAAGACAUGGCUACAAUGACUGACGGCAGUCCCAUCUAAACUAUCAUUACAUUUACUGUGAUCUUGGCCAAAAAAAAAA